CGGACAGCCCCUGAGCUGAGCGCCAGGAACACGGGGCAUGUUCCUCGGGCAGGACACCUGGUGUGCUCCUUGGGGUCAUCCAUGCCAGGGCCAGCCUGAGGGUCCCUCUGGAGACUGCCAGGCAGGAGGGUGGCAGAAGCCUUCUCCCCACCCCACCCCCCACCCCCGGGCUGAGCCUCACGCUAACCUUUGCUAUCUCUGAGGAGCAGCAGCCGGGAGGAAGGCCCCUCCCAGCAGGCCUCUAUCUCCCGAAACCCCGUAAUUAUUAACUCCUGUGGCUCCGCGGGCAGCAGAAGGCAUGGGGGCCCUCGUUCCUGGGCUCCAGGCCAGGAAAGAUGCUCCCCCCUCACCUCCAGCCCCAGAGACACACGCACCCCAGCCAGUGAAUCAUCAUCCUUGCUCUUCCUCGGAAGACACAGACAAAAGAACCUACAAACUGACCGCCACCGGAGAGGUGAUGGUGAGUUGUGGAAAAGCCACAGCGUUCAAAAUGAGAAGACCCAGAUUUCAGUCCCAGCCUGGCCUUCUAGAGCUGUGUGACCUUGGACAAGAGAGGCCUCGAGCUUCAGCAUCCUCCUCUGUAAAAGGUAGAUGAUGAAACCCUACUGAACUGUGGCUCAGCAAUGCCUCUGUGACGUUGCGUGGGCUUUCCCUUCUAUGUAAUACCCUUCCAUCCUUCUCAGCUCAGGCAAACUCCUACCCAUGCCUCAAGACCCAGCUCAAAUGCUCCCUUCUCUGUAAAUGUUUCUCUCUGAGCUCUGUGGGCUUGACACAGAUAUUAGGCUUUGCCAUUUUGUGUUAAAGUUCUUUAAGUGUUUCCUUCAUUGUUAUCUGACUAGGAAUUUUUGGAAGCAGGAAUCAGAUUAGGCUUAUUUCUGGCAUCAGAAAUGGUUUGUUGGAUGACUGCUUUGUGGAACGGAAAGCAGAAGAGGCUGACCCUGACUGGGUCGGACCCCAUCCUUGCAGGGGUCAAUCCUGG
rnacentral:lncRNA from 1 species